UACGUAGGGGGCAAGCGUUGUCCGGAAUUAUUGGGCGUAAAGCGCGCGCAGGCGGUCAUUUAAGUCUGGUGUUUAAUCCUGGGGCUCAACCCCGGGUCGCACUGGAAACUGGGUGGCUUGAGUACAGAAGAGGAGAGUGGAAUUCCACGUGUAGCGGUGAAAUGCGUAGAUAUGUGGAGGAACACCAGUGGCGAAGGCGACUCUCUGGGCUGUAACUGACGCUGAGGCGCGACAGCGUGGGGAGCAAACAGG
rnacentral:rRNA from 1 species